rnacentral:tRNA from 1 species
GCGGGAAUAGCUCAAUUGGCUAGAGCGACAGCCUUCCAAGCUGUAGGCUGCGGGUUCGAGUCCCGCUUUCCGCACCA